rnacentral:rRNA from 1 species
UACAGAGGUGGCAAGCGUUGUUCGGAAUUACUGGGCGUAAAGGGCGCGUAGGCGGCCCGUCAAGUCCCGUGUGAAAGCCCCCGGCUCAACUGGGGAAUGGCGCGGGAAACUGUUGGGCUUGAGUAUGGCAGAGGGAGGUGGAAUUCCACGUGUAGCGGUGAAAUGCGUAGAGAUGUGGAGGAACACCGAUGGCGAAGGCAGCCUCCUGGGCCAAUACUGACGCUCAUGCACGAAAGCGUGGGGAGCAAACAGG